rnacentral:rRNA from 1 species
UGAGGAAUAUUGGUCAAUGGGGGCAACCCUGAACCAGCCAAGUCGCGUGAAGGAUGAAGGUCUUAUGGAUUGUAAACUUCUUUUAUACAGGAAUAAAUUGGGGGACGUGUCCCCUUUUGCAUGUACUGUAUGAAUAAGGAUCGGCUGACCCCGUGCCAGCAGCCGCGGUAAUACGGAGGAUCCGCGCGUUAUCCGGAUUUAUUGGGUUUAAAGGGUGCGCAGGCGGGAUGUUAAGUCGGCGGUGAAAUUUUGCAGCUCAACUGUAAAAGUGCCUUCGAUACUGGCCUCCUUGAGUGUGGAUGAAGUAGGCGGAAUUUGUGGUGUAGCGGUGAAAUGCUUAGAUAUCACGAGGAACUCCGAUUGCGCAGGCAGCUUACUAAGCCACAACUGACGCUCAUGCACGAAGGCGUGGGGAUCAAACA